GGAGUUGUAGCUCAGUGGGUAGAGUGCUUGCCUUGCAUGUGGAAGGUACUGGGUUCGAUCCCCAGCACCA
rnacentral:tRNA from 1 species